AGCGCAAUUAUCAUAACAUAGGUUGUAGUACGGCUUUUUACUGGAUUGGCUUCCUCAUUGAUUUGACCCACACACCACUACGGAUUGUAACAUGCUGUAAAAUGAUUGGCCACCCAGUCCUGGCACUCAGUGUGUGUGUGUGUUGGUGUAGGGUCUCCCUACUCCAGGCCUCCAAUUACAAGCCAAACGCCUCAUCUGGAACACAGGCCAAAACACCUGUUCACAACAGCUGCUGAGAUCUUGAGGGAACAUUUUUGUGUUUGUGUCCUGAAGACACAUGUCUGAGGCCAGAGCUAAUACCUAGACAUACUGAACGCAAAGACAUGCACAUAUCCAUGCGUUCAUCUGACUUUGGAGGACCUGAGCCCUAGGACCAUACGUCAGGACUACCGGGCAUGAUGACUCCUUGCUGUCCCCAGUCCACCUGGCCUUGCUGCUGUUCCAGUUUAAACUGUUCUGCCUGCAGUUAUGGAACCCCUACCUGUCCCAGACCUGCUGUUUUCAACUCUUAAUGAUCGGCUAUGAAAAGCCAACUGACAUUUAUUCCUGAUUAUUAUUUGACCAUGCUUGUCAUUUAUGAACAUUUUGAACAUCUUGGCCAUGUUCUGUUAUAAUCUCCACCCGGCACAGCCAGAAGAGGACUGGCCACUCCUCAUAGCCUGGUUCCUCUCUAGGUUUCUUCCUAGGUUUUGGCCUUUCUAGGGAGUUUUUCCUAGCCACCAUGCUUCUACACCUGCAUUGCUUGCUGUUUGGGGUUUUAGGCUGGGUUUCUGUACAGCACUUCGAGAUAUUAGCUGAUGUACGAAGGGCUAUAUAAAAUAAACUUGAUUGAUUGAUAGAUAGAUAGAUAGAUAGACCAGGGAUGGGGAACUUUGGUGGGGGUGGGGGCCACAGAAAAUCUGAAGUCAUCUUGAGGGGCGACGGUGACUCACGGUUCUGCAUACCCUCACAUGCAGUCAGAGCCGGCCUUAGCCUUUUGGGGGGCCCUAAGUGACAUUUUGUUGCUGUCCCCAUCUUGACAGCAGCGAUAAACAUUUCGUUUUUUUUAGUUAAUCUCCGCAGCUCUAUAGAUUUUGCCAUGGCGCGUAAAGAAAAUGUUGAAAUGUUAUGACUCAUUUCAUGCAAUUCUUAAAAAACAAAGAUAUUCUUCAGUAAAAAGGUUCUAUAUCAGUUUUAGAGAGCUUUGGAGAUUAUAACACAAGUAAGGGUGACGUUUAACUCACGUAACUCAGUGGAGAUUGAAGCAAUAUCCAGAGUUAACCAUCCCUGAGACCGGGUCUCGUAUGUCAAUAAGUUAACAAUGAAGUAAGGUACGCCGGAAGUUUAUGCAGGAAGGCUUUAUCAACAAAAAGAGUGCAAUGCAUCGAUCUAUGAAAUUUCAAAGAAGGCCAGACUACUAUCCGAUGCAGAAUGCAGUGAUGUGUACUGAAUCUAUCAUCCGUAAUAAAGCAUAGUGUGUCUAAUGGCUUCAAUACAGUGGCAGUUGCAUUCAUAUAGACAAUACCCCAUAGUCUAUAACCGGUAUGAAUGUCGACUGCAUUAUUUGUUUUCUGCUAUUUAAUGAAAGGUGUGACAUAUUCCUGUAAAAUAAGCCCAUUUUAAUUAUUAAUUUCUUAAACUAAUCAACAUUAUUUUUGAAAGAGUUUUUUGUCAAUCCAGAUGCCCAGAUAUUUAUGACUGGGGCCACGAUCAAUGAGGGCACCAUCCAAUAUACAUAUGUAUAAUUCAUCAGAUACAUUUUCAGUUCAGCAAAGGCUUUCUGCAAAGCAAUGAAAGCAUACUGAAGCUCCAAAAAGAGCUUGGUCAACCAUGCAUACACAACAGUGUCGUCUGCAUACAGGUGUAUGAAAAAAAGAAUUGCAGAUAGACCAACAUUGUUUAUAUAGACAGUAAAGAGUACAGAACCUAAAAUCGAUUCCUGUGGGACACCUUUCUUAAUAUAAAGGAAACCUAACUUAACACCACUAGAGAAAAACAGUAUUUAGAAAGUAUCCAGGCUGCCAUUUGAUUAACGAUUUUACCAUUUGUGGAGAGGGAGCCCAUGGGCCACCAUCCAAAUCCUAUAGCACCCAAGAUGAUUGUCAGUGUCAAACCCUGAUUAGUUUCACCUGCCCUCAUUAUUGUCUCCUCCCCCUCCAGCUGUCUCUUAUUUCCCAAGUGUAUUUAUCCCUGUGUUUCCUGUCUCCCUGUGCCAGUUCGUCUUGUAUGUUAGUCAAGUCUACCAGCGUGUUUUUACGUACUCCUUUUGCUGUUCUCUUUUUGAUUGUCCUCCUGGUUUUGACCCCUGUCUGACUCAGGACUUCUUUCCCACCUGCCUGAUCAUCCCGCCUGGCCAGACCUUGAUUCUGCCUGCCUUUCGGUACCUUUUGAACUCUGAACUGGUUUUGACCCGUUUGCCUGUCCACGACCAUUCUCUUGUCUUCCCCUAUUGGAUUAAUAAAUGUUGUGACUCCAA